UAUCCAUUCCAUCCAUUCAAAUUCAAUCCCAUUCCAUCACUACUUUCUCCACCCCCACCGCUGCCUACUCCUUCCAAUUUCAGCUCCGCUGUCACCACCUCCUCCUUCCAGAGCCAGACUUCUCAUUUUCCAUUGCUACUCGCCUCACCUGCUCUCCAUCUGGUCCUGUUUGUUCGAUUUGAGCGUCAACGGUUACGGUAGCAGCAAAAGUAGAUGCGUUCCUAACCUCCUGAUGUCGGUGAUUCUUCGGCUGCAGUAGAAGAACUGAAGAAGAAGGGUUCUCACAUAAAAAAGAAAGGAAGAAUUGACAUCAAAUGAGUAGUAACUGCUGCAGAGAAAGCUUACCAAGAAAAAGCACUAGUAGGUGGAAUCAGAACUCAUGUGUUCUCAAAAUCAAAAGGAGAUGCUUAAGCUGCUAGUUACUGAUAUGAAGCCGCUUUCUGUCCGGGACAUUGUCCACAAUGGAGCCACUUUCCAGCUUUGUUGGCCGUCGUGAAUUGUGUGGCUAGCAAAUCGAAGAGUGCAUGAAGGACAAUAUGAUUGAGUAUGCCGUUACAUUAUUAUCCGGAAGCUGGUAUUGCAAGUGUGGCAAUAAGCUCUUCAUGCCUAAGCUGUAUCAAAAUUUUAUUCCUAGUUUUGUUUCACUUUGAAGCUCCUUUGUAUUUAGGUGGUGUUGUAUCACAUUCCAAUGUUCAAGUGUAUGGAUUCAAAAAUUUGUAAUGAAAUUAUCAAUUUUUAUGCAAUUCCAAAAUUUGUUCA